CACACACACACAGGCCGGAUCGACGCAGACACCAACGCACAAGAAUAAACUUCAGUCCAAUUACGUAGGCUAUGGAGAAAGCUCUGCGUGAAGCUU